rnacentral:rRNA from 1 species
AGAGACAGCAGCAGCCACGGUAAUACGUAGGUGGCAAGCGUUGUCCGGAAUUAUUGGGCGUAAAGCGCGCGCAGGUGGUUUAAUAAGUCUGAUGUGAAGCCCACGGCUCAACCGUGGAGGGUCAUUGGAAACUGUUAAACUUGAGUGCAGGAGAGAAAAGUGGAAUUCCUAGUGUAGCGGUGAAAUGCGUAGAGAUUAGGAGGAACACCAGUGGCGAAGGCGGCUUUUUGGCCUGUAACUGACACUGAGGCGCGAAAGCGUGGGGAGCAAACAGGAUUAGAUACCCGAGUAGUCCCUGUCUCUUAUACA